rnacentral:rRNA from 1 species
AACGCUGGCGGCGUGCUUAACACAUGCAAGUCGAACGAACCUCGGGUUAGUGGCGGACGGGUGAGUAACGCGUGGGAAUCUGCCCUCAGGAGGGGGAUAACGGCCGGAAACGGCCGCUAAUACCCCAUAUGCCGAGAGGUGAAAUGAAUUUCGCCUGAGGAUGAGCCCGCGUCUGAUUAGCUAGUUGGUGAGGUAAGAGCUCACCAAGGCAUCGAUCAGUAGCUGGUCUGAGAGGAUGAUCAGCCACACUGGGACUGAGACACGGCCCAGACUCCUACGGGAGGCAGCAGUGGGGAAUUUUCCGCAAUGGGCGAAAGCCUGACGGACCAACGCCGCGUGAGGGAUGAAGGCCUCUGGGCUGUAAACCUCUUUUAUCAAGGAAGAAGAUCUGACGGUACUUGAUGAAUA